UGAGCAACCUGCCCAUGACACUGGGAUAACGAUUGGAAACAGUCGCUAAUACCGGAUACGACCUCAGCGGACAUCUGCAUGAGGUGGAAAGCUCCGGCGGUCAUGGAUGGGCUCGCGGCCUAUCAGCUUGUUGGUGAGGUAACGGCUCACCAAGGCGUCGACGGGUAGCCGGCCUGAGAGGGCGACCGGCCACACUGGGACUGAGAUACGGCCCAGAUCCUAACGGG
rnacentral:rRNA from 1 species